UGUAAGCGUAUACCAAAGUUGUUGCAGUUAAAACGCUCGUAGUCGGAAUUUGGCAGUUCCGGAAGUGUGCACGUCGUGUGCGCACUUUGCGGGUACUGCUUUUGUGGUCUUGCGUAGGAUGAGGCACUUUCAUUAGUGAACGUCCUCACGCAACCACUCUUUACUGUGAGAAAAUCAGAGUGCUCAAAGCAGGCAUUUGCCGUGAAUGUAUUAGCAUGGAAUAAUAGAAUAGGACUCGGUUCUAUUUUGUUGGUUUGUUGGGACUGAGUAAUGAUUAAGAGGGACAGUUGGGGGCAUUUGUAUUCCGGCGCUAGAGGUGAAAUUCUUAGAUUGCCGGAAGACAAACUGCUGCGAAAGCGUCUGCCAAGGAUGUUUUCAUUGA
rnacentral:rRNA from 1 species